rnacentral:rRNA from 1 species
GUAUCCUAACCGUGCGAAGGUAGCGUAAUCACCUGUUUUUUAAUUGAAGACCUGUAUGAAAGGCAUCACGAGAAUCGUACUGUCUCCUUUUUCUAAUCAGUGAAACUAAUCUUCCCGUGAAAAAGCGUGAAUGUCUAUACAAGACGAGAAGACCCUUUGGAGCUUAAGACAAAGUAACGUUUUGUACCUCCACUCUAACCUAUUUCUAUAAACAUUUACAUUACAAGUCUUCGGUUGGGGCAACCGCGGAGUAAAAUUUACCCUCCAAGCUGAACGGAAUUUUCCUAAGCAAGAAGCCACAACUUUAUGCAUCAAUAAAUUGACAUCAUGACCCAAUAUUUUGAUUAUCGAACCAAGUUACCCUAGGGAUAACAGCGCAAUCCACUUCGAGAGUUCAUAUCGACAAGUGGGCUUACGACCUCGAUGUUGGAUCAGGGUAUCCCAGUGGUGCAGCCGCUACUAACGGUUCGUUUGUUCAACG